GAUCUGGGAGAGAGAAGUGGUAGAGGGGUAUUAACUUUGUUUGGUAUACAGUAUUUGUAAGGCCUUAACCAUGCAUUUUUCCAGACAAUGUUCAUAUUGCUGUUCCUCUAUCAUUCCUUUCCCUCUUCCACGUGUCAUCAUUCUGCUCCGGAGUGGCUCGCUUGUGGGCGUGCUGGCAGGAUAGGGCAGCGUCUUCAGUUGCGCAUCAAGAAUUCUGCAUACAGUAUCACGUUUGUAUGAAGAAAAGGAAGUCAAAGCGGACAACUACGAAGAUGGCAUCUCAGAGAGCGAGCAGAUUUACAGCCAUUUUCACUGGACUAUCUGUUGCUAAGUCAUGGGUUAGCCUUGCAAUAACCAAGUGGUGAGAAACACAGCCCUCUAUAUUUAAAUGUUUCAGGUACACUUUGAAAGGAGAUACUGUAUGUGACGCAGACACCUAUUGGCAUUAUCUUCUAUUGUUUGUCCUCAUGGGUCUGUUUUUCAGCUUAAAGUACUCUGUAGCCACUCACGUCAUCCCUCUCCCCCUAAAUCUUCUCGGUUAUAUCAGCUGUUUUGUUGAACCUCUCCCGCAUCUGAACUGGCUGACAGAGGGCACAGCCUGAUCAUAGGUAUGUUUUGAUGUGAGAGGAAUCCAGUCCCGACAGCGCAAUUGUGAUGAACUGAGAGAAUAUUAGGGUAGCACUGUCAUUCAUGAAUCAUAUGCUAUCUGCCGCUGUUCUUACCUCUCUCCCCACCUCAUCUUCUAAUGCACACCAUAUGUGCAUUGAAGUACAGAUUUGCCUACUUUUUUUUUUUUUUUAACUAGGCAAGUCAGAUAAGAAUGACGGCCUAAGAACUGCCUUGUUCAGGGGCAGAAGGACAGACCUUGUCGGCUCGGGGAUUCGAUCUUGCAACCUUCCGGUUACUAGUCCACCUACCCGCCCAAGAUUGAACUUGUAUUUAUAAUAUUACAAUUAAAAUGCACUUCUUUCAAUAAAGCGUUUCACAUUCUCCACUGGUUGAAAUACUAUCCUGUGUCCGUCCUCAGAUUAAUGGAGUUAAAUGUGCAUAGGUUUUUCUCUCUCUGUAUA